UGGCUAAUUUUUGUAUUUUUCGUAGACACGGGGUUCACCGUGUUGGCCAGGUUGGGCUCAAAUUCCUGACCUCAAGUGAUCCGUUUGCCUCAGCGUACCAAAGUGCUGGGAUUAUAGGCAUGAGGCACCACACCUGGCCUUUUACCACUUUUAAACUAAGGAAACAGUGAUCACCACACAUGCUCUGCUUCCAAACUAUACUUUCACAUCCAAAGUACCCCCAGAUCAUAAAGUGCUACCAGAGGUGUGAUAGGAAGACUCGGGGAGACUUACUCGGAAACUGUGGGAGUUUUUUUUUGUUUUUGUUUUUGUUUUUAAAGCAAAUUCAUCUAUUUUAAUUAGCCAGAAUCCUAAUAGCCUGCUGAUUUUUUUUUUAGAUGAUUACUCUGAAAACAUAUGCAUUGGUGUGGUCUAUGAGUGAGGCUCUUUUAGUCACAUUCUCUGCUGCUUCAUUGCAAUGAAAAAUAGCAAAGAGGAAGAUUUUCUCAAACAAGGAUUCUUCGUGAUUGCAAAACCUAUCCCCAGAGAUUCCAGUCAACAUAAUUCAAGCUGACCAGUGGAUUCUAAGUGUGACAGUACAGUGUUCAGCAAGUCCAAGUGAAACCAGAUGGAGGCCAGAGAAUGUGCUUGGCUUCCCCCACAUUAUCUGGUUAUCUAUCCCAACCCUCAGCUUCGGCCAGCUUCCGGUGAAUGUUAAACCAGGCUGCUGUCAUCUACAUAUGCUUUCACACUUCAAAAGGUGUGUGUUAGUUGAUAUUUGGUUUAGUCAUUUCAUCUCUUGAGAGGAGGGAUUGGUUGAGGUAAUUUUUAUUUCCAGUAGUAUUUUAUUUUAUUGGAUGAAAUUGGUUUUAUUUUUUCUGCGGAAGAGGUAAGGAAGGUUCCCGGAUUAUUGUAUUUGGUUGGUAAACUGUCCUCUAUUUCUUUCUCUUUCUCUGUCUCCAUCUCCUCCUUUUCCUCUUUCCCUAUUUCUUCUUCUUCUUCCUUAGGUUUAUAUGAAAUAGAAACAGUUUUCCAGCACAAUGACUAAGUGAAUCGCAACAUUAAAGACUGGCUGGCCAAGAAAUGAUUAAUCUUUAUAUGGCAGGCUUUAGGGAUCCACAUCGAAUACAAACAUGUUGGAAAUCUUUUUGUCAUUCCAGCUCAACUGAUUCAGAAGAAUUUUAAGAGCAAUAGUCAGUGCUUGGAGGAAAAAAUAAUACUAUCGUAAAUUUGAGAAGCUCUCAUCUUUAACAUGGCUCUUGUAUGUCACAAGUUUGACAACCUUACAGAGUACAUGCAUGCUGUGGUUGACUUCAGAAAUGUGUGUUUUAGACAGUUUUACAUUAAAGUUAUUAUAUUAUAAAUAUAAUGAUUUAUUAAUAAGUUUAGCUUUUGUUAGGAUACUUUACAUAUAACUACCACAAUGCAUUAAGAAGGAAGUGUUAAGAAUUUUCAUCCCACAGAUGUGAUGAUUUAAAGUAGUGUUCCAUUUGUGCAGUUAAUAGAAGGAAGUGCAACAAUGAAACAGAAACAAGGCGAAAUCUAUUCAUAUGGGUCCAUCUUAUAACCUGUUCUUGCUGGUAACUUUGGCAUAUUUUGUGGUAAUUUUUUUUUCCUUUCUUUUUGAAGACUCAGUAGCUGUACUACUCACUCUACCAGGCCAAAGAGCCAGCAUGAUGGAGAGAAGAGUAGGAACCCAUGUUUUAAAAUUCUUUUAAUGCAGAUAAACAUGUCAACAUGAUUUUUCUUUAAUCAGGAACCUGUAAGAGAAUUUCCAUCUUGUUUGCCUUGGUUUUGGUAUAUGAGGUGGACUUUUUACUUAAGUGCCCUCCCUGUUCAUGUUUUGAGGCUAUGUGCCCUAGCUAUGCCUCUGUGGUUUAUCCUGAGGAGGUUUGCACAGCUCGAGUGCCAACCACUUCUCUUGGAGAAGACGGAGUGUCAUAACUACAGCUAACAUUUAUUGAUGAUCCUGCACGUCUUUCAUUUUAAUCCUCACAGCUCCUUAAGUAUUAUCUCCAUUUUGUAGAUGGGGCAUCUCUGGCUCAGGCUGAAAGAUGUUAAGUAGCUCACCUAAGGUCAUUUUGCCAGCUAAGUAACCAAACUGGGGUUCCAGCCCAAGCCAACUUCACCCUGUGUGGAUGGUUUUAGCCAGUUCUCUCGAUUUGCCUCCCAGUGAGGUGUGAGUUGUUGCCAUCAUUAACCCAGGCCCACCUGCUUUUGGGGUUCAGAGUUGGAACCAUCUGCAGGGAAGUAUAGAUGAAAUUAUGGGGGGCGGGACAGAGCACACCCUAGUGGAGCCUCCCAAGACUCCUCAUUGAGCCCAGAAAACUGAGAUAUGGGUUAGAAUUGGCCCAUUUCAUCACAAUGUUUCUUUCAUGUUUUCUCAUCUUACAGGUGAUUUUUCUGGAGGAAAGAUGAUGAACUAAAAUUUUACAACAGUUUUUGAAUACUUUUCGUAACUGUCAAAUCUCCGUCUGGAUCCCAUUAAUAAGAUACAAAGUUAUAUCCCAAAAGUAUCAAAUUAUGUAAUUCUUAUUCUGAUUAGUUCAUUGCAACUUGUUCAGCUUCAAAUAAAUUAAAGAUUUCA